rnacentral:RNase_P_RNA from 3 species
CUCGGCACAUGGACGGCUACCUAGCAUCGUUUUUCGAACCAAAAGUGGUGCUGGGAGGAAAGUCCGGACACUUAUCUCGACGCAAGUUGGGAGCGCGUAGCGGGUAACGCCCGUCGGGGGUAACCCUAGAGGUGCGAACAGAGACGAGUCCCUUCGGGGAGUGAAACGGCUAAAUCCUUACGUGAGUGCAAGGACGUACUUCCCGGUAUUCCGCCAGCUGGCGGAGUCGGGAUUUGAUCCGCUUGACCCCGAGAGCAAUCGAGGGGCUAGAUAAAUUGUUGUCUUCCGCCUUCGCCGGCUGGCGAAUGGCGGAAAAACAGAAUCCGGCUUACGGUGUGCCAAACAAG